CCCUCAGAUCUUGCAGCCAGGGAAGCAGAUGUCCGAGGCCCACCCGAGCCGGCCUCCCUCCUCCGGGAGGAAGCCGCGAGCAGGGCCUGCCAGCUGUUGGGCUCCCUGGGCUCUGGCCCUGGUGGACUCUGUGUGCCAGGCGCCAGGUGCCAGAGGAGGCCUCCAGCUGGGGCUUUUUCCAGUCACCGGCGAUGUUUCCAAGGCGGGGAGCCGGAGGGGAGCGAAGCCGGAGCCGCACGCAGGCAGCCCCAGACUCAGGUGGGGCUGCGAGCGCUUCCCGGUGGACCGGCCGGCAGCUGCCGCCGCAGGGUCUCCAUGGUGACUCUGACAGGCUGCGCUGCAGAGCAGGGGGCCGGGGUCACAGCCCUCAGAUCUCCCUGGCAGCCAGGUUCAAAGCUGGGCUCCGGGGCGGAGGCGGGAGAGCUGAAAAGUGCUCGGGAGGGAGAAGAAAUCUGGGCUUUACAAACUCCAGCCAUUGUUCUUAGGAAUAAAAUCAAACUCAUUACUCGGGGUAUGGUGUGAGAGAGAACGUAACCUAACCUCAAAAUAGCCGAAUUCCAAGCGAUUUUUGCUAGUCUCUGGUCUUUCAGGUGCUUGGCCGAAAUUCUUACAGGGUGGUUUACAUCCAUCUUGGCUAAGGUGAGGAAUGAGUAAUAAACUCCCUUGUCAAAACUCUUCUGCUAUUUGUUUGUAUGGUUUUGUUUUUGGUACCAGGCAUCAAAUUCCAGUCCUUGUGCCUGCGAGGCAGGCGCCAGAACCACUGAGCUAAAUUCCUGGUCCCUCUCUUCUGCUUUUUUUAUGGCCAAUCAAAUCUUGCAGCUAAGAACUCUCAUUAUUUUAAACAGAGGCUUUUCCUGACUGAACACCUUUCUUUUUUCCUUUAGAAUGUCGCUGACAUAUCUGUUCAGUGAAUUAUCAUUAACAGAUUUGUUGGACUGCUGCGAAGUCCACUCACCAAGAAAGCUGAGGAAAGCAAGCAAAGAAUUAGAGGGAAAAGUAGGAGACACCUUACCACUUAUCAGAAAGAGGAUCGGCACCCAGUAUUCAUUUUAAAGUAUUACUUUUAGCAUCUUUUGAAGGCUUAUUUUCCAGGUCUUUAACCACCUGUACUACUCUUCCCUGAACCCCUUCUGGUUUUUAGCACCCUUUGUAAAGGGUGUGAAUCAAAGCGAUCCUUCUUUCUAACUGGGACUUGGACCGCUACAGCGUAAAGGUGUCAUAGAAGAGUUACCUCCAGGAGGUUGGUCUGCUUUGCCGUGGCUGUCACCAGGCCCACCUGCUUUAUUUAAUAACAUUAAAUGACAUUAACUCCUCAUUGUGUUUCCAGCUCGUGGUCAGCUAGAAC
rnacentral:lncRNA from 1 species